rnacentral:misc_RNA from 1 species
AUGGGACGGCCCGCUGGGCUGUUCCCGCCCCUAUGCCCUUUUUUGGGUUUCCGGCCAGAGGCAUGCUGGGAGCGUCACAUGCAAAUUGAGCGUGCACCCAGCGUUCCGCCCUUUCUACGCUGGGCCGGUUAUCGACCCGGCCCAGUGCGCAGGCGCGGGAAAGUUGAACUAAUAAAGUUUGUACGAGUUCAGUGGAGGAGACCGCAAGUUGAGUGGAGGAGGCGGCGGUGGGGCCCCGGACCAGGUCAGCGGGGUGUUGACGAGGGGUGGGGUGAGGAGGGAAGAGGAGGGGGCCGGGAUCCAGUGGUGGGCACCCCAGUCCCGCUUCUCUGAUAUCCAAGGGUCCAGGGUCCUCUAGAUUCCAGCAGGGGUCGGAGAUUUGGAACUACACCUCACAGCAGGCUGCGCGGCGAAGAAGCGCGGACCUAGGGGAAGAUUUGCCCUGAAACCUCUUGGGAUUGGUAGUUCCCGAUGCUUUAAGGGUUUCAGGAGUUUGGCAUAUGCCUCUUAUAGAAUCCAGGAGUUGGGGCGCUAAGCCUCUUCUUCCUGGGAGACCUAAGGGUCUGGGGCUCCAGUUCCUUUUUCUCUAAGACUCAGAAGUCCAGGACCCCAGCUCCCUCCUCCUUUAGACCCACGAAUCUGGGCACCCAGCCCCACCACCUUUCCUUGGAUCGAAGAGUCUUUUUCCUGAUCGCUUUUUCGUCUGAGGACUCAAGAGUCUAGGCCCCCAGACCCACACUCUCCAAAGGACCCAGGAGUCCAGGCCCUCAGCACCUUCCUUGGGACUCACAAGUCCUGGUCCCCAAGCCUCCACUUCUUGCUAAACCCUUGGAGUCCAGUCCCUAACCCUCUCUCUCACAGGUGCCUCCAUGGCAGGCUCUGAAGAGCUGGGGCUCCGGGAAGACACGCUGAGGGUCCUAGCUGCCUUCCUUAGGCGUGGUGAGGCUGCCGGGUCUCCUGUUCCAACUCCACCUAGAAGCCCUGCCCAAGAAGAGCCAACAGACUUCCUGAGCCGCCUUCGAAGAUGUCUUCCCUGCUCCCUGGGGCGAGGAGCAGCCCCCUCUGAGUCCCCUCGGCCUUGCUCUCUGCCCAUCCGCCCCUGCUAUGGUUUAGAGCCUGGUAAGAGAUUUCCAUGAUCAUCUAUGAAGCCGGCAGAACACGGGAUAAGGCCCAGCUACUCCAGACUUCUAUGCUUUGGUGGCCCAGCGGCUGGAACAGCUGGUCCAAGAGCAGCUGAAAUCUCCGCCCAGCCCAGGAGGGCAUCCUGGCUGUUUCACCCGUGGACUUGAACUUGCCAUUGGACUGAGCUCUUUCUCAGAAGCUGCUACAAGAUGACACCUCAUGUCCCUGCCCUCUUCGUGUGCUUUUCCAAGUCUUCCUAUUCCACUCAGGGCUGUGGGGUGGUGGUUGCCCUACCUGUUUUUGCCAAAAAUAAAUUGUUUAAAACUUUUCUUAUUAAAAACGUUACAAAGUA